rnacentral:rRNA from 1 species
AGUGAACGCUGGCGGUAGGCCUAACACAUGCAAGUCGAACGGCAGCACAGGAGAGCUUGCUCUCUGGGUGGCGAGUGGCGGACGGGUGAGGAAUACAUCGGAAUCUACUCUGUCGUGGGGGAUAACGUAGGGAAACUUACGCUAAUACCGCAUACGACCUACGGGUGAAAGCAGGGGAUCUUCGGACCUUGCGCGAUUGAAUGAGCCGAUGUCGGAUUAGCUAGUUGGCGGGGUAAAGGCCCACCAAGGCGACGAUCCGUAGCUGGUCUGGUAGGAUGGUCAGCCACACUGUGACUUAGCCACGGUCCAGCUUCCUACGGGAGGCAGCAGUGGGGAAUAUGGGACAGUGGCCGAAAGCUUGAUCCAGCCAUACCGCGUGGGUGAAGAAGGCCUUCGUGUUGUAAAGCCCUUUUUUUGGGAAAGAAAUCCAGCUGGCUAAUACCCGGUUGGGAUGACGGUACCCAAAGAAUAAGCACCGGCUAACUUCGUGCCAGCAGCCGCCGUAA